rnacentral:rRNA from 1 species
UCUUUGUAGUAAUACAAGGCAGACGGCUCAGUAACACGUAGUCAACCUACCCUAUGGACGAGAAUAAUCUCGGGAAACUGAGCAUAAUUCUUGAUAGAUCAUAAUGCCUGGAAUGGUUUAUGGUUGAAAUGAUUCGUCGCCAUAGGAUGGGACUGCGGCCUAUCAGCUUGUUGGUGAGGUAAUGGCCCACCAAGGCGAUAACAGGUACGGGCUCUGAGAGGAGAAGCCCGGAGAUGGGUACUGAGACACGGACCCAGGCCCUAUGGGGCGCAGCAGGCGAGAAAACUUUGCAAUGUGCGAAAGCACGACAAGGUUAAUCCGAGUGAUUUCUGCUAAAGAAAUCUUUUACCAGUCAUAAAACCACUGGUGAAUAAGGGGUGGGCAAGUUCUGGUGUCAGCCGCCGCGGUAAAACCAGCACCUCAAGUGGUCAGGAUGAUUAUUGGGCCUAAAGCAUCCGUAGCCGGCUUUGUUAGUUUUCGGUUAAAUCCAUGUGCUCAACGCAUGGGCUGCCGAAAAUACUGCAAGGCUAGGGAGUGGGAGAGGUAGACGGUACUCAGUAGGAAGGGGUAAAAUCCUUUGAUCUAUUGAUGACCACCUGUGGCGAAGGCGGUCUACCAGAACACGUUCGACGGUGAGGGAUGAAAGCUGGGGGAGCAAACCGGAUUAGAUACCCGGGUAGUCCCAGCUGUAAACGAUGCAGACUCGAUGAUGCGUUGGCAUAUAGCCAAUGCAGUGUCGCAGGGAAGCCGUUAAGUCUGCCGCCUGGGAAGUACGUACGCAAGUAUGAAACUUAAAGGAAUUGGCGGGGAGCACC